rnacentral:rRNA from 1 species
UACAGAGGUCCCGAGCGUUGUUCGGAUUCAUUGGGCGUAAAGGGCGCGUAGGUGGCGACCCAAGUCAACGGUGAAAGCUCGACGCUCAACGUCGAGUCGGCCGUCGAUACUGGGUUGCUCGAGCACUGUAGAGGCAGAUGGAAUUCCGGGUGUAGCGGUGGAAUGCGUAGAGAUCCGGAAGAACACCGGUGGCGAAGGCGGUCUGCUGGGCAGUAGCUGACACUGAGGCGCGACAGCGUGGGGAGCAAACAGG